rnacentral:lncRNA from 1 species
CCUACUCAGUUUUCAAAAGUCAGAUUUUUAAAAACUGACAAAAACAGAACGAAUCCAAACAUGAUCUUAGUAGACUUUGUACAAAUACUAUUUGAAUUUACAAGUGUUGUGGAUCUAAUACCACAACAACUCCUACCCGCCACCUCCAUAUGCAUUGGACCGUGAAUUGCAAGAGGAAAAAAAUUGGUGGUAGUUGACCCGGUGCCAAGCAUUCGUGUCUCUAGGGCAACUCCAAUCAACCUCUUAAAUUUUUUCAACUACUCUCCUAAAUGAGCCACUUGUCCCGAUAACCCUCAUUUUUCUCUGCACUCCAACCUAACUCUCAUUUCAGUCCUCUUAUAUUUUUAUACAUAACCUCUUACUAGCAAAUCCAACAUUUGAUAUCUAAACUAUGUUAUUUUACAUUAGUACUAUUAAAGUGGAUAUUUGUUAAUAAUACUUUUAUGGCUAAAUAUUAGAGGAAUUAUUUUUAAG